CUGUGCCCCAGUUAUUAAAAGACUUUGAUCCAUCACCUUUGCAGGUGUGGAGUUUACAACAGGAGGCCUGUGGACUGAUUUCUACGUGAAGGACUCGGGACGAAUUUUCCGGGAAAAUCCAAAGGACGUGACGUUCAUGCUCCCGAGUGCCUCAGUGCCUCUCUUCCGCUCCCCUACGGCGUCAACAGUGUGCAACACUGGCUAACGUUAGCUCAGGGAUGGAGUCCGCUGACGCCAACGAACGACCGGCUCCCGGCACAACACGGACUCCACCUCACUAACCGUUAGCGUUGCCAUCCAGCAAAUUUAGCCGCGCUGACAUUGCCGAGCGUCUUGGUGAGAGCUGGACAAACUCCCUCAUCUAUCAACAUGGUGUUCAGUCUCGUGUCACGUCACUGCUUUGGCCGAUGUCCAGGAUGCUGACUGCAGCUAACUCAGCGGCCACCGGCUUCGUCAAUAACAGGGUCUUUCUGAAUGUUACAUAUGGUAUCUUUAAAUGAAUAUUUAUGCUGGUUUAAAAUAGAAUGGUCCUUUAAAGGACAUCCCUCUGGAAAUCAA